CGUGCACAUUUUAUUAACGCGUCUCUUCGUUUUGAGCCGUAUAUUUUUGCAUCUUUUGCCAAAUAAGGUGUCGAUUAUGUUUACUAUUUUCUUUCGCGGAAUCGCGGAGUGAUAAAAGAAGGUUGUGUUAAAAGUGCGAUUUUAAAACAUUCUUAAAUCUGCAAGUAGAAGAGGACUGAUACAAAAGAACGAAGAAAAUAUAAAUAAUGCGAUUUUUUCACCUCAAAUGGUGUAAAACAUUCUUAAAUCUGCAAGUAGAAGAGGACUGUUUUUAAUCAGACAUGACCACAAACGUAGUUUGAUUGUUACGUUCGCUUCUUAUGACUCAUGUAAAAGAAUGUAGAAAGUAUAAAUAACGCAAUUUUUUGACUUUGGCUGGCGUAAAACAUUCUGAAAUCAGCAAGUAGAAGAGGACUGUUUUUAAUCAGACAUAGCCACAUACGUAGUUCGAUUGUUACGUUCGCUUAUUAUGACUGUAUAAAAGAACGAAGAAAAUAA